AACGAACGCUGGCGGCGUGCCUAACACAUGCAAGUUGAGCGCGAAAGGGAGCAAUCCCCGGUAGAGCAGCGCACGAGUGAGUAACACGUGAGUAAUCUUCCUUCGUGUCAGGAAUAACCACUGGAAACGGUGGCUAAUACUCGAUAAGCCCACAAUCCCUUCGGGGAAUGAGGGAAAAGGGGGGCGCAAGCCUCUCGCACGAAGAUGAGCUCGCGGUCCAUUAGCUAGUUGGCGGGGUAAUGGCCACCAAGGCGAUGAUGGAUAGCUGGUCUGAGAGGACGAUCAGCCACACUGGGACUGAGACACGGCCCAGACUCCUACGGAGGCAGCAGUGGGGAAUCUUGCGCAAUGGACGAAAGUCUGACGCAGCAACGCCGCGUGAGUGAUGAAGGUCUUUGGAUCGUAAAGCUCUUUCGGAGGGAAGAAAUGGUCAUGCGCUAAUACCGCAUGGCCUUGACGGUACCUUCAGAAGAAGCACCGGCUAACUC
rnacentral:rRNA from 1 species